UGGCGGACGGGUGAGUAAUGUCUGGGAAACUGCCCGAUGGAGGGGGAUAACUACUGGAAACGGUAGCUAAUACCGCAUAACGUCGCAAGACCAAAGAGGGGGACCUUCGGGCCUCUUGCCAUCGGAUGUGCCCAGAUGGGAUUAGCUGGUAGGUGGGGUAAAGGCUCACCUAGGCGACGAUCCCUAGCUGGUCUGAGAGGAUGACCAGCCACACUGGAACUGAGACACGGUCCAG
rnacentral:rRNA from 1 species